rnacentral:rRNA from 1 species
CAGGGCUUGACAUCCUCUGAAUGCCAUAGAGAUAUGGAGUUCCCUUCGGGGACAGAGAGACAGGUGGUGCAUGGUUGUCGUCAGCUCGUGUCGUGAGAUGUUGGGUUAAGUCCCGCAACGAGCGCAACCCCUGUACUUAGUUGCCAGCAUUAAGUUGGGCACUCUAAGUAGACUGCCGGUGACAAACCGGAGGAAGGUGGGGAUGACGUCAAAUCAUCAUGCCCCUUAUGUCCUGGGCUACACACGUGCUACAAUGGUCGGUACAGAGGGCAGCAAAGCCGUGAGGUGGAGCAAAUCCCAAAAAGCCGAUCACAGUUCGGAUUGUAGGCUGAAACUCGCCUACAUGAAGUCGGAAUCGCUAGUAAUCGCAGGUCAGCAUACUGCGGUGAAUACGUUCCC